GCUUACGGCCAUACCACCCUGAAUGCGCCCGAUCUCGUCUGAUCUCGGAAGCUAAGCAGGGUCAGGCCUGGUUAGUACUUGGUGGGGAGACCGCCUUGGAAUACCAGGUGCUGUAAGCU
rnacentral:rRNA from 1 species